rnacentral:rRNA from 1 species
UUNNAGUAGGGAAGAAGCGAAAGUGACGGUACCUGCAGAAGAAGCGCCGGCUAACUACGUGCCAGCAGCCGCGGUAAUACGUAGGGCGCAAGCGUUAUCCGGAAUUAUUGGGCGUAAAGAGCUCGUAGGCGGUUUGUCGCGUCUGCCGUGAAAGUCCGGGGCUCAACUCCGGAUCUGCGGUGGGUACGGGCAGACUAGAGUGAUGUAGGGGAGACUGGAAUUCCUGGUGUAGCGGUGAAAUGCGCAGAUAUCAGGAGGAACACCGAUGGCGAAGGCAGGUCUCUGGGCAUUAACUGACGCUGAGGAGCGAAAGCAUGGGGAGCGAACAGGAUUAGAUACCCUGGUAGUCCAUGCCGUAAACGUUGGGCACUAGGUGUGGGGGACAUUCCACGUUUUCCGCGCCGUAGCUAACGCAUUAAGUGCCCGCCUGGGGAGUACGGCCGCAAGGCUAAAACUCAAAGGAAUUGACGGGGGCCCGCACAAGCGGCGGAGCAUGCGGAUUAAUUCGAUGCAACGCGAAGAACCUUACCAAGGCUUGACAUGAACCGGUAAUACCUGGAGACAGGUGCCCCGCUUGCGGUCGGUUUACAGGUGGUGCAUGGUUGUCGUCAGCUCGUGUCGUGAGAUGUUGGGUUAAGUCCCGCAACGAGCGCAACCCUCGUUCUAUGUUGCCAGCACGUGAUGGUGGGGACUCAUAGGAGACUGCCGGGGUCAACUCGGAGGAAGGUGGGGACGACGUCAAAUCAUCAUGCCCCUUAUGUCUUGGGCUUCACGCAUGCUACAAUGGCCGGUACAAAGGGUUGCGAUACUGUGAGGUGGAGCUAAUCCCAAAAAGCCGGUCUCAGUUCGGAUUGGGGUCUGCAACUCGACCCCAUGAAGUCGGAGUCGCUAGUAANNNCA